rnacentral:miRNA from 1 species
GCAGACACAUUCCAGCGAAUCAGCAGCAGACCCUCCCUCCCAGACCCUCCCACCUCCUGGAUAGCUCACUGAGAAUGCAGCUUCAAAAUGGAUGCUGUCCAGGAGGUGGGAGGGUCUGGGAGGGAGGGUCUGCUGCUGAUUGGCUGGAAUGUGUCUG